CCUACGGGUGGCUGCAGUGGGGAAUAUUGGACAAUGGGCGAAAGCCUGAUCCAGCCAUGCCGCGUGUGUGAAGAAGGCCUUCGGGUUGUAAAGCACUUUCAGUGGGGAAGAAAGUCUUGGGGCUAAUACCCUCGAGGAAGGACAUCACCCACAGAAGAAGCACCGGCUAACUCCGUGCCAGCAGCCGCGGUAAUACGGAGGGUGCGAGCGUUAAUCGGAAUUACUGGGCGUAAAGCGCGCGUAGGCGGUCUGAUAAGCCGGUUGUGAAAGCCCCGGGCUCAACCUGGGAACGGCAUCCGGAACUGUCAGGCUAGAGUGCAGGAGAGGAAGGUAGAAUUCCCGGUGUAGCGGUGAAAUGCGUAGAGAUCGGGAGGAAUACCAGUGGCGAAGGCGGCCUUCUGGACUGACACUGACGCUGAGGUGCGAAAGCGUGGGUAGCAAACAGGAUUAGAUACCCCGGUAGUC
rnacentral:rRNA from 1 species